rnacentral:rRNA from 1 species
AGAGUUUGAUCCUGGCUUAGGAUGAACGCUGGCGGCGUGCCUAAUACAUGCAAGUCGAACGGCAUCAGCAAUGAUGUAGUGGCGAACGGGUGAGUAACACGUUGGUGACCUGCCCCAAAGAUGGGAAUAUCACCUGGAAACGGGUGGCAAAACCGAAUAAGCUCGAGGGAGUUAGAGAGCCUUGAGUAAAAGCGCAAGCUACUUUGGGAGGGGCCUGCGGCCCAUCAGUUAGUUGGUGGGGUAACGGCUCACCAAGGCGACGAUCAGUAGCCGACCUGAGAGGGUGAUCGGCCACAUUGGAACUGAGACACGGUCCAAACUCCUACGGGAGGCAGCAGUGGGGAAUAUUGCACAAUGGGCGAAAGCCUGAUGCCAGCAACGCCGCGUGAACGAAGAAGGCUCUUGGGUCGUAAAGUUCUGUUCUGAGGGAAGAAGCAAGCGACGGUACCUCAGGAGAAAGCCCCGGCUAACUACGUGCCAGCAGCGGC